AAUGUAAAACAUGAAUAUGUAUGUAUGCUGCUUCAACCAAUCUAGUUCAAGGGUUGUUGGUAUGGUUCUUCCUAUUAGGAAAAUUGAACAUAGAGGAGGAAUCUGCAGACUUUAUAUUUCAGCUUGCAUUCUCUUUUUACAUGAAGAUAAAAAAUGAAGUAAAUACUUUUAAGCGAUAAGUGUUACCUUGGAUUUCUACUCGUAAAUCUGGGCGUAUUUCAUGUAGCUAGCAUUUUGAAUGCGUGAGAUUAUAUGUGGCUGUGCCUGCGAGCCUGUCAGUCAGAAUUCAGAAGCCUGGGUCGUGAAAAUGCACUGUUGAUUGGUUGUGUACUAACUGCUGGAGCUAAAAUGGUCGUAGAUCUUCUUGUGCCUUAACUCAUCACAUGCAGUCCUCCUGCAUAGUUCGAAAAAAGAAAUAAUUCACAAAACAAUACUGAGGAAGUCAUAUAAUGGUAAGAUAAGAACAGCUAGCU
rnacentral:lncRNA from 1 species